CAGCCGCCGCGGGAAUACGUAGGGUGCGAGCGUUAAUCGGAAUUACUGGGCGUAAAGCGUGCGCAGGCGGUUCGUUAAGACAGAUGUGAAAUCCCCGGGCUUAACCUGGGGACUGCAUUUGUGACUGGCGAGCUAGAGUAUGGCAGAGGGGGGUAGAAUUCCACGUGUAGCAGUGAAAUGCGUAGAGAUGUGGAGGAAUACCGAUGGCGAAGGCAGCCCCCUGGGCCAAUACUGACGCUCGUGCACGAAAGCGUGGGGAGCAAACAGGAUUAGAUACCCCCGUAGUCCCUGUCUCUUAUAC
rnacentral:rRNA from 1 species